UAUGGCCUACGGGGGGCAGCAGUGGGGAAUAUUGCACAAUGGGGGAAACCCUGAUGCAGCGACGCCGCGUGGGUGAAGAAGUACUUCGGUACGUAAAGCUCUGUCCUCAAGGAAGAUAAUGACGGUACUUGAGGAGGAAGCCCCGGCUAACUACGUGCCAGCAGCCGCGGUAAUACGUAGGGGGCUAGCGUUAUCCGGAAUUACUGGGCGUAAAGGGUGCGUAGGUGGUUUCUUAAGUCAGAGGUGAAAGGCUACGGCUCAACCGUAGUAAGCCUUUGAAACUGGGGAACUUGAGUGCAGGAGAG
rnacentral:rRNA from 1 species